UUAAUUGAAGCCAAAAAGAGGCUUAUCAUUGUUAAUGAUAUCAAUGAAUUUUAUAUUCCAUUUAAA
rnacentral:tRNA from 1 species